UACGUAGGGGCCGAGCGUUGUCCGGAGUUAUUGGGCGUAAAGCGCGCGCAGGCGGCCUCGCGCGCCCGACGUGAAAGCCCCCGGCUUAACCGGGGAGGGUCGUUGGGGACGGCGGGGCUUGAGGGCGGGAGAGGUCGGUGGAAUUCCCGGUGUAGUGGUGAAAUGCGUAGAGAUCGGGAGGAACACCAGUGGCGAAGGCGACACGCUGGGCCGUACCUGACACUGAUGCGCGACAGCAUGGGGAGCAAACAGG
rnacentral:rRNA from 1 species